rnacentral:rRNA from 1 species
CCAAUAGCGUAUAUUAAAGUUGUUGCAGUUAAAAAGCUCGUAGUUGAAUUUCGAGACCGGUUUACUGGUCGUGCUUUUGUACGUACUGGUAUUAUUGGUUUCUCCUUUCUGACGAAUCAUAAUGCCAUUAAUUUGGUGUUUUGGGGAAUCAGGACUGUUACUUUGAAAAAAUUAGAGUGUUUAAAGCAGGCCCACGCUUGAAUACAUUAGCAUGGAAUAACGAAAUAGGACGUUUGAUUUUAUUUUGUUGGUUUCUAGGAUCGACGUAAUGAUUAAUAGGGAUAGUUGGGGGCAUUAGUAUUCAAUUGUCAGAGGUGAAAUUCUUGGAUUUAUUGAAGACUAACUACUGCGAAAGCAUUUGCCAAGGAUGUUUUCAUUAAUCAAGAACGAAAGUUAGGGGAUCGAAGACGAUCAGAUACCGUCGUAGUCUUAACCAUAAACUAUGCCGACUAGGGAUCGGAUGAUGUUAAUUUUUUAAUGACUCAUUCGGCGCCUUACG